UGGGAUGUCGCCAAGUGGUAAGGCACCGCACUUUGACUGCGGUAUUCCGUAGGUUCGAAUCCUGCCAUCCCAGCCA
rnacentral:tRNA from 1 species